UACAGAGGGUGCAAGCGUUGUUCGGAAUUAUUGGGCGUAAAGGGCGCGUAGGCGGUGCGGUAAGUCUGUAGUGAAAUCUCUGGGCUCAACUCAGAGUCUGCUGCAGAAACUGCCGUGCUUGAGUGUGGGAGAGGCGAGUGGAAUUCCCGGUGUAGCGGUGAAAUGCGCAGAUAUCGGGAGGAACACCAGUAGCGAAGGCGGCUCGCUGGGCCAUUCCUGACGCUGAGACGCGAAAGCUAGGGGAGCGAACAGG
rnacentral:rRNA from 1 species